ACCUGGAACUGUGUAACAGAAAUGCGCUUGGUCCCAGCCGUGGAAUGUGGACACAAUCCACUGUUGAUUUCUGUGAUGCUCCAGCUGACUGUGACGUUUGUGUGCUGCACGGGGAUGUUGCGAGUGUGUAGGGAGUCAGUGAACUUCAGUCCUCUUGGCUGGAGGUGCCCUGGACACUCUUGUCACUGUGACUGUCAAGAUGGCUCAUUGUGCCUACUGCUCUGCUUCCGCCAGCACCAACAUCUUCAUGGGACACCGGUACUCAGCAGUGGGCUCCUACUGGUACCUUGCCGUGCUCCUUGGAUCUCACUGGAAACCUGAGCCCUGCUGCCUACUUCCUCUUCAGGCAUCUAGCCUUCUGUUCUGCUGCCUCCUCUGAGAGUGAAGCCUACUGUCUCCAGACUGACCUGCAAAGCCCUGCUCCACUCCUGACCACGUGACUCAUGCCAGCCCUGGACUCCUGCACUCUUACCAUAGCCUGCAUCAUGAUGUUUCCUUCACCACCAGCAAGAGUUUGACACUGCAGCAUACUCCAUAAGCAGGGCUUUCAACUGACAUCUGCCACGGAGGAACUUCAAGUCCGCCCUUUCUUCUUUUAAAGAGUAAGUAAGGGCUUUCUUUUAUCCUGUACCCAGGAAGGAGAGGAUAAAAUGGCAUGGACAGGAACAGGCUGCCCCCUAACUUAAAUAUGUUUAUUUUAUAUUUUCUGAAUUAGAAAAUUCCCUUUGUAUUG